GUUAACCAAGCCAAGGCCCAAGAUCUAAGCCAAGAGUUGGAGCCAAGUCCAUGGGCAAAGCCAAGAAUCAGUCACAGGAUUAGCACAUCAGAACAAGCCCCAGAACUGCUGCUGAACCCAAGGUCCUCCCCCAGGCCCUGCGUCUUUUGGAGGCAUUCUCUGCCCACGGACUUUCACUCCCAGAGGAACACAAUCUACAAGCCAAAAGAGCCUAAGAACAACCUAGAUCUAGCAUCAUACUUAUUUGGAAUACACUGGAUGUAAGAAACAAAGAAGAAUGUCCAACAUCAACACUACAGUUAACAUUAUAUAAAAGGUACUAACCAAGAAAAAUACAAGAGAAUGAAAAUGAGAGUUAAAAACAUACCGAGGCACAACCAAAACAAAAAAAAAUGCAAGACCCAUAUGAAGAAACCAUUGUAAAUGCUACUGUAGGACAAAAAUGAAGACUUGAAUUAAUGGGAAAACCUACCUUGGACUAGAAGAUCCAACAUUGUAAAGAGGCCAAUUUGUUUGAAAUUAUCUCAUACAUUUUAUAUACAACCCU
rnacentral:lncRNA from 1 species